rnacentral:rRNA from 1 species
GAUGAACGCUGGCGGCGUGCCUAAUACAUGCAAGUCGAGCGAACAGAUAAGGAGCUUGCUCCUUUGACGUUAGCGGCGGACGGGUGAGUAACACGUGGGUAACCUACCUAUAAGACUGGGAUAACUUCGGGAAACCGGAGCUAAUACCGGAUAACAUUUGGAACCGCAUGGUUCUAAAGUGAAGGAUGGUUUUGCUAUCACUUAUAGAUGGACCCGCGCCGUAUUAGCUAGUUGGUAAGGUAACGGCUUACCAAGGCGACGAUACGUAGCCGACCUGAGAGGGUGAUCGGCCACACUGGAACUGAGACACGGUCCAGACUCCUACGGGAGGCAGCAGUAGGGAAUCUUCCGCAAUGGGCGAAAGCCUGACGGAGCAACGCCGCGUGAGUGAUGAAGGGUUUCGGCUCGUAAAACCCUGUUAUUAGGGAAGAACAAACGUGUAAGUAACUGUGCACGUCUUGACGGUACCUAAUCAGAAAGCCACGGCUAACUACGUG